rnacentral:rRNA from 1 species
UACGUAGGUGGCGAGCGUUGUCCGGAUUUACUGGGCGUAAAGGGAGCGUAGGCGGACUUUUAAGUGAGGUGUGAAAUACUCGGGCUCAACUUGAGUGCUGCAUUUCAAACUGGAAGUCUAGAGUGCAGGAGAGGAGAAUGGAAUUCCUAGUGUAGCGGUGAAAUGCGUAGAGAUUAGGAAGAACACCAGUGGCGAAGGCGAUUCUCUGGACUGUGACUGACGCUGAGGCUCGAAAGCGUGGGGAGCAAACAGG